rnacentral:sRNA from 1 species
GCUAGGCAUAGUGGCCUGCACCUGUAGUUUCAGCUACUUGGGAGGCUGAGGCUGGAGGAUUGCUUGAGCUUAGGAGUUUGAGGCCACCAUGGUUACCAUAGUGAGAACCCAUCUCAA